CCUACGGGAGGCAGCAGUGGGGAAUUUUGGACAAUGGGCGAAAGCCUGAUCCAGCAAUGCCGCGUGAGUGAAGAAGGCCUUCGGGUUGUAAAGCUCUUUUGUCAGGGAAGAAACGGUGCGGGCUAAUAUCCUGCACUAAUGACGGUACCUGAAGAAUAAGCACCGGCUAACUACGUGCCAGCAGCCGCGGUAAUACGUAGGGUGCAAGCGUUAAUCGGAAUUACUGGGCGUAAAGCGUGCGCAGGCGGUUUUGUAAGUCUGUCGUGAAAUCCCCGGGCUCAACCUGGGAAUUGCGAUGGAGACUGCAAGGCUAGAAUCUGGCAGAGGGGGGUAGAAUUCCACGUGUAGCAGUGAAAUGCGUAGAGAUGUGGAGGAACACCGAUGGCGAAGGCAGCCCCCUGGGUCAAGAUUGACGCUCAUGCACGAAAGCGUGGGGAGCAAACAGGAUUAGAUACCCUGGUAGUCCACGCCCUAAACGAUGUCUACUAGUUGUCGGGUUUUUAAUUAACUUGGUAACGCAGCUACGACGUGAGUAGACCGCCGUCGGGNGGUACGGUCGCGAGAAGUUAAAACGUUAAAGUAAAGUUAGUACGGCGUGAGACGUGCCGACGGACGACGACGAGGGAGGAGG
rnacentral:rRNA from 1 species